ACGCGAGAUCGAGGCGCCCCCUAGCGCCUUCUAGACCUCCCACCCUUUGUAAACGUACCUUGAGUUGCUUUGGCGGGGCGUGGCCAGAAAUGGUCCCGUUGGCUCCACCGGGGCUAGCGUGCCCCCGCCAGAGGAUCAUAAGAAUCUUGCUUUGAAAAACCCCGUCUGAAAAAUUCUAUUUUGAAAAUAGCGAAAA
rnacentral:misc_RNA from 1 species